UACGAAGGGUGCAAGCGUUAAUCGGAAUUACUGGGCGUAAAGCGUGCGUAGGCGGUUAUUUAAGUCCGUGGUGAAAUCUCCGGGCUCAACCCGGAAACUGCCAUGGAUACUAUUUGUCUUGAAUAUUGUUGAGGUGGGCGGAACGGGUCAUGUAGCGGUGAAAUGCAUAGAUAUGACCCGGAACACCGAUUGCGAAGGCAGCCCACUAAGCAAUGAUUGACGCUGAGGCACGAAAGCGUGGGGAUCAAACAGG
rnacentral:rRNA from 1 species